AUACGUAGGAUGCAAGCGUUGUCCGGAUUUACCGGGCGUAAAGGGUGCGUAGGCGGCGUGGUAAGUCUCAUGUGAAAUCUCCCGGCUCAACUGGGAGGGGUCAUGGGAUACUGCCAUGCUCGAGGGCAGUAGAGGAGAGCGGAAUUCCGGGAGUAGCGGUGAUAUGCGUAGAUACCCGGAGGAACACCCGUGGCGAAAGCGGCUCUCUGGACUGUACCUGACGCUAAGGCACGAAAGCGUGGGGAGCAAACCGGAUUAGAAACCCCAGUAGUCC
rnacentral:rRNA from 1 species